UACGGAGGGGACUAGCGUUGUUCGGAAUUACUGGGCGUAAAGCGCACGUAGGCGGAUUUGUAAGUCAGGGGUGAAAUCCCGGGGCUCAACCUCGGAACUGCCUUUGAUACUGCGAAUCUCGAGUCCGGAAGAGGUGAGUGGAAUUCCUAGUGUUAGAGGUGAAAUUCGUAGAUAUUAGGAAGAACACCAGUGGCGAAGGCGCCACUCUGGGCCGAAACUGACGCUGAGGAGCGAAAGCAUGGGUAGCAAACAGG
rnacentral:rRNA from 1 species